rnacentral:sRNA from 1 species
UUUCAUGCAAUGGAACGUUGGGUUUGAAACAAGUUCCGUCUUGGCCGCAAGAUUGGUGGCGGAUCCUUCGGCGAGAUCUAUCUCGGGGUGAAUACACAGACAGAUGAAGAGGUUGCAAUUAAGGGUUCUGCUGCUGGACCAAGUUCUGGGGUGCCGCCAGCUGUUGUAAAUGCUGAGAGACAGACUGCUAUAUUUUUCUUUCCUUUUCACUUCUAUGUCCCAGUUCUAUGGUUCCUUACCUAGCUCUUAAAUCUUACUUGUUGCUGUUCUUACUUUUAUU